GGAACCCUAAAGUACACUCUAGCUGAGGUUUUAAUCCAGGUGGACACUUGACUCACUGAGUUAAAAAAAAAAAUGCAAGAUGGGCCUAGAGAGAUGGCUCAGCAGUACCUGCCUUAGCCCUGGUUCUCAGGGCACAUGGCUUCUCACAUGUUGGUAACUCCAGUUCCAGAGGAUCUGAUGUUCUCCUCUGCAAUCCACAGGCAUUGCAUGCACAUGCACACUCACAUAUACAGACAAACACACCCAUGAAAUAAAACUAAGAAAACAAAACAAAACAAAAAAAUAUACAAGGUUUCCUCUUCUGGGAGGAACCAGGACAAGCCUGGCUGAUGGGUCUGGUUCCUGCAACUUCCAGAUGUUAGAUUUGCAGCCAUUCUUUAAUUAAUCCUGGGAGUUGCAAGAAAGAGGCAGAGGGCCAUGUGACCAAGGCCUUGUCACACAUCUGACAUGUCUACCAAAUGGUGUGUGGAUGCAGGAAAUAUGGUAUACAAUAAAAUUGAUCAGCUAUGAGAAAAGCAAAGUGGUUACAACAUGAUGGACUUUAAAAUUAUUAUUCUAAGAAAAGUCUCACACAAAAGAGCACACUUUAUAAACUUCCAUUUAUAUUAAAUAUAGAGAAAAUGCAAGUCCGUGCAUGAGUCAUAAAGUGGGAGAGGUUUGCUGUUGCCAGGAAAGAACUGUCUAUCUCCUGCUUAUGCACCCAGGGGAUCUCGCUCUGAAGAUGAAUUCAAAGACUGCAUUAUUAUGAUAACUCCACAAUCCAGUAAAUUUGCUAAAAGUAUUGAAUAGAGCACAUAAAAUGGGUGAACUUGAUGGUAUGUAAAUUACACUUCACCGAAAAUGAUUUUAAGGGUCGAGUGGGAAAGAUUAGAAUUUUAAGUGCAGAGUUUGGAAGGGUUGCUUUGAAAAUCACAAGAACGUGUUUCUUGAGAAGGACAUUGUAAGAACAGAGUGGAGCAGUUUCCAGAUUCCCACACAGUGACUCUCUCGUGGACUACAGCUUCUCUCAUCUCCUCUCACACCCAGCCUCCUGGUUUUGCCCCCCAACACAAUUGAAGCAAUUUCUUUUGAAGUCCAAGAAUCUUGAGAUGUAAUGGCAUAUUCUAGAGUCUCCUUAAAGUGUAGCAUUUCAGAGGAAAAACAAAUUAUGUCCCUCUUCCAGUAUGCCAAGGACACUGGGCAGAUUUAGGCUGUUUUAUAAAAUUGGUGUGCUUCUUUUGAAAAAUGUACAUUUGUUUAUGUUUGUGCAUGUGUCGUGUAAAAUUGCGUGUACUAGUACACACACCCGUGGAGGCCAGAGGAGGAUGCUGGGUGUUCUGCUCUGACACUCUCUGUCUUAUUCCCUUGAGAUAGGGUCUCCCACUGAACUGAAAUUUUUAGUUCUGAGCAUUCUUCUGUCUCUGACUGCCAGCACUCGAGUUUGAGGCAUGCCCAGCUUGCCCAGCUCAGUUUUGGUUUUGUUUUUUACAUUGGUGCUGGGGAUUCAAAUUCAGGCCUUCAUGCUUGCCUAGCAAGUGCUCCUACCCACUACACCAUCUCCUCAGCUCCAUAAAUGGAGGAUCUUUUAUUUUAUUUUUUUUUAAAUUACCCUUUAGGGACUGGAGAGAUGGCUCAGCAGUUGAGAGCAUGGACUGUUCUUCCAGAGGUCUUGAGUUCAAUUCCCAGCAACCACAUGGUGGCUCACAACCAUAUGUAAUGGGCAUCUGGUUCCGUCUUCUGCUGUGUCUGAAGACCCUGACAGUGUACCCACAUAUAUGAAAUAAAUAUGGCCGGAGUGAGCAGGGCCGGAGCAAGCAGGGCUGGAGUAAGCAGAGCUGGAAAAAAAAAUACCUUUUUUUUUUUUUUUUAUUCCUGUAUUAGGCCAGGGUUUCUCUAGAAGACCAGAAUUGCUAAGUAUAGUGCCCUGCUCAUUAAAUUACUUUAAAAAGUAGUUACAUGAAGUAAUAACUUUUAUUGCGACAUUUCUACAAGUGCAUAUGAAAUACUAAGAUCAUAUCUAUAACCUCCUCAAUUGCUUUUGGGUGUGGGUUAUGUUAUUUCAUGUGUUUCCAUUAUGUCCAAUUUCAUAUAACAUUGGGAAAAUUAUUGACCAUUUAAGUACUUUUCUCACAUGAUCUUUGAUACCUUUUCCAUGAUAUCUUGAAGAAGGAAGGUCACUGUCUUGUAUUCUAUAUCAAGAGAUACACAGAAGUUUCUUUAGGUUCAUACUUUGUGGGUAUAAGUUUAAAUCUCAGUUUUGCUUCUAUUUCCUGGGCUUCUCUCACUUCAAGCAUGUUCUCUCUGGAGUGCCAAGUUGAGAGACUAAUACAUGAUCAUUGGAAGAGGGUGGCAUCUCUGCUUUCAGUACUGGUCGUAUGCUAAGCUCCUAUGCAGUCCACUGCUCUGGUCACUGCACCUUAAACCAUAAUUUGUUUUCCCUGAGAAUAAAGAUGGAACCAAGGGCUUUGUUCAUACCUGGGAAGUAUCUACCACAGAGCUACAUUCCCAGGCUCUCAACUCAUGUUUUAGUCUGAAAACAUACCAGAAGGAAGCAACCAAUAACGGACAGUCUUUUCUGGCCAGAGCAGAAAUAACUAUUUCAUAGGACAAUUGUCACUGGUCGAGCAGGCCGAAGUCCUAGGUUCAUCACUUGUCUCUUCCCCCAUACACUUUACAGACACCUCUGUCAUAGUCCUUCACUUUCCUCUAUUAUCUAUCCCACCUUCCAGACUGUGUCCUUGGAGACUGAAGGUGAUACUGUGUGCAUAAGCAGAUUCCACAUAAGAGGGGAUUAGAAGGGCAGUGUCCGAGACUUCUAAGUGCCUGGGUGUGCCUAAGAGUCCAUGCUCUCUCAUCCACGGAACAUGGCUCACUGCAACUCUAUCACACUUAACUAAUAGCACAGCCUGGGACCUGUGUGGUGGAGCUGAUAGCACAGCCUGGGACCUAUGCGGAUGCUCACAGGAUGUUCUGGGACAAUAUUCCUUGUGACUUUCCUCUCCCUCUUUUGCUAUUAAAGAAAAACUGAAUAAUGAUUCCUUGUUAAUCUCUAGUUAGUGGUGGUGAGCCCCCAUGCUGUUAGAAACAUUUAUCUGAAAAUAAUUAACGUUUCUAAACUUGCAUUUGUUGCUUCAUUUCAGAUUUGUGUCAGAAAUGCUGCAAAAGAAUGUAAGUAAAUUUGUUCAGUUUUCACCUGGAGCGCAGCUCUGUUAGCUGUAGGAUUUGUCAAGUUCUCUGGUAGAUUAAUCUGUGUACCUAUGGCUUUGCCUAUACAUAAGAGGUAUUUUCCUAGAACCGUUGAUUUUUGGCACAGUGUACUGAAUGGCUCAGCUCAGACAGGUCACACUUUUUAAAACUGAAAACAUCUGAGAAAGACCAUGAGUUUUGGGGUGUACAGAGUAAUGACAUGUCACACACAUGCAGUGUUGGGUGGUGGUCAUAGUGAGAUCUAGUCACAGGUAUUAGGGCAGGACUGCCCAAAAGUCUGGCCAACGUGUUCAUUUUAUGACUGAGAACUCAUGCCCUUUGGUCAACAUUUCAUAUGAUCU
rnacentral:lncRNA from 1 species